UACGAGGGGGGCAAAUGUUGUUCGGAAUCACUGGGCGUAAAGGGCGCGUAGGCGGGCUUUUAAGUCAGGUGUUUAAUCCCGGGGCCCAACCCCGGACAGGCACUUGAAACUGGGAAUCUUGAAUAGUGGAGAGGUCAGUGGAAUUGGGGGUGUAGCGGUGGAAUGCGUAGAGAUCCCCAAGAACACCCGUUGCGAAGGCGGCUGACUGGACACAUAUUGACGCUGAGGCUCGAAAGCAUGGGGAGCAAACAGG
rnacentral:rRNA from 1 species